ensembl:lncRNA
CUUUGCAAUAGUGUGGCUUAUUAUGUAUGACGCACUUAUGGUGAAGUGAAAACAGUAACACAGGGAGCUUUAUGAGCUUAACUACAUUCUGUACUCAGGACUGGGGGGUUGGGGGGGGGGGGGGGGGGGGAUGGGAUGUGAUGUCCUUGACAUGCUUACACAAGUCACAUGUCUGUGUGCCUUGAAGCAAAGCUGUGUACAACUCAUAAAUGUGGCUGACCGUUACUCUGCCACAACCAAAGGGGCACUUUGCACUCUGUAGGGAUUGUAUUUCAAUAAAUUUAUUUGGAGAUUCCACAAUUAUUGGUAUUUAUAUACUGCAUCAUGCCCCAUUUCUGAGAAGAAUCAAAUGCUAUACUCUUACCCUAGAUUUUAAAAAAUAAAUUUUAACCUACAUUCAAGCCUAUGGUGAGUUAAUAAAAAACAAUAAUCAAAAUUGACAUAAAGAACUGUUCAGUGUUAAUUUUGUUCAUUCAGUCAUCUUCUUUAACAGCGCCAUCCUGCUCAGGGCCGCAGUGAAUCCAGAGUCUAUCCUGGGAACACUGGUGUGAAGGGGGAAAACAUGCAGCAGAUGAACCGAGUUUCUGAGUGGUCCUCCCUGCUGUAGCACUGCAAGACAGAUGAAGCAGGACAUGAGAGGAGUGCAGACGAGAUCCAUCAGCAGGGCUGAAUGGGUUUGACCCGGCGAGGUGAGCCUCAGUCAUUAAUACAGAGGCACACACGUGUGGGGGAGGAGACGAAUCUCCCUGCAGCACUUCACUGCAUCCCAGCUUUCAGUCCUGCAACAGAGCUGCUCAAUCUCAUCACAUAUUUUCAUCUGUUAUUCAAGUAAACUAUAGGCUAUUAUUAUGGAAAGCAUUUUCUUGCUAGUCCUAUGCCUGAAUUAUCUGUGCUUGGAUUCCUUUUUACAAUGGAAGUAAGUCCAAAUUGGUUUUUGGCUGGGAUUUCUGUCUGAUACCCAGAUAAGAUUCUUGGCAUCAUUGCGAACAGCUCAGUUAUAAAGUUCCAGUCAUAUAGAGGGCCUUGUAAUAAAUAGCACUACAUGAUUUGAAACCUAUAGAUGAGUUCGUUGAAAGAUAUUGCAGAUAAUUAUUGGCAAAUGGGUCAGAAAAGCAACCUGAGGACAUUUUUAUGAUCAUUCAAUGUACUGGCAACCCAUCUGGGGUGAAUUGUCUCACCUUGCUCCCAGUGUUACCAGGAUAGACUCCGGAUCCAUCACAACCCUGAGCAGGAUUACUGAAAGUGAGUAAGGUCUAGCAGUUGAGAUCGAACUCGUUCAAAAUGCUAAAUGUUCUAGGUACCUUCAAAAUUAAAACAUUUAUACAUCCUUCAAACCAUUUGUGUAUUCCAGUAACCUAAGUUUACAUGGCUGAGGCAUAUUUUUGUACACAAUAUAUGUAAGGAAUAAAAUAUGAUGGCGUGUGCUGUUAUUGGAAAAUAAUUAAUGCGAAGUUGGUGUGAUUAUAAGUGCUUUAUUCCGCUUAUGCCAUAGCAAUAUGCCAACAAUUACAACAUUUCUUUCUUUAUUAUAUUAUUUAUUUACUAUUUAUUAUAAUGAAUGAUGCAUGGUACUUUUGAUCCAAUUAUAGUUACAUAUAAUGUUGUAGAAUGUUCAUAACUUAUGUUAUAACAGCCAUAAACAGCUGUUCCUUCACCAUUCUUUGUAUUUUCUCGCUCUCUUAACAUGAAUAAGACAAAAACAAACAAACAAACAAACAACAACAAAAACCACACAGCUGGUCAUGUUGCAGAGAAACUGGAAAUUCACAAAGUCCUCUGUCUUGAAAACUCUUCCAUGGUUUAAGACAUUCUGACUGUUACAAAGCCCUGAUACUAGAGAUUCCUUCCAUAAAUGAUAAAUCAGCAUCAUACAGAAAAAUCCAUCAUAUCAAUGAGUAUAUAUUUAUCUUUGGUAAUGUUUGUAACAGAACAUUUUUAAUCCAUUGAUUAUAAAACCUAUAUUUAACAAAGAUUUUUUUUUUGAUAAACUUGUGUUGUGUUUUUCAAUUGUUUGAUAUCCAUGAGAGCAGAGUAUUUUUGUGAAUUUUUUUUUUAACAAAAGAUCAAAAGGUUACACAAUAAAGACAAUUUUUCCACAGCCUUCUUUGCUUAUAUUUACCAAGGGUGCCAAUAUUAAUGGAGGGUUAUCCAAUAACAAAAAAGUUAUUCAGUACCAACUGGGCCUGUGUGAAAAUGUAUUUGCCCUCGUAUCUACUAAUUCCCCAAAUCUAUGAAACUGCAUUCAUAAUGGGGUUCAGCUGGACUAGACACAACCAGGUCUGAUUACUGCAAACCCUGUUCAAUCAAAUCAACACUUAAAUAGAACUUUUUCAACAGCUUGAAGUUGGUUAAAAGGUCUUGCAUAUGCAUAUGAAGUAAUACACAGUAAUACACAGUAAUACACUAUGGAAGAAGGUGAUUGAAAAACAGUCUGGGAAGGGUUACAAAACUAUUUCAAAGUUUCUGGGACUCCAAAGAACCACAGUAAGCGCCAUUACCGCCAAAUAGAAAAACGGCACAGUAGGGAACCUUCCCAGAAGUGGCUGACCUUCCAAAAUUCCUCCAAGAGCACAGCAACUAUGCAUCCAGCAAGUCACAAAACAGACAAGGACAACAUCAAAGGACUUUCAGGCCUCUCUUGCAUCAAUAAAGGUCACUGUUCAUGACUCCACUAUCAGAAAGACACUGGGCAAAAAUGGCAUCCAUGGCAGAGUGGCAAGGUGAAAACCACUGAUAACCCAGAAGAACAUUAAGGCUUGUCUGAAUUUUGCCAAAACACACCUUGAUGAUCGUCAAACCUUUUGGGAGAAUGAUCUGUGGACUGAUGAGUUGAAAGUGAAACUGUUUAGAACAGUUCCACUGUCCUGUUACAUCUGGCAUAAACCAAACACAGAAUUCCACAAAAAGAACAUCAUACCUACAGUCAAGCAUGGUGGUGGCAGUGUGAUGAUAUGGGGAUGCUUUUCUGCUUCAAUACUUAGAACCUUGCAAUAAUUGAAGGGAAACAUGAAUUCUGCUCUCUACCAGAAAAUCCUAAAGGAGAAUGCCCGGUCUUCAGUCCAUAAACUCAAACUCAAGCGCAACUGUAAUAUUUAGCAAGACAAUGAUCCAAAGCAUAUGAGUAAGUACUAGUGCUAGAAGAACGUGAAAGACUGAUCUCCAGCUAUCGGAAGUGUUUGGUUGCAGUUAUUACUGCUAAAGGUGGCACAAGCAGAUUUGAAGUUUAAGGGGGCUAUUAGUUUUUCACAAGGGUGAUAGGUGUUGGAUAACUUUUUUUUUUUUGCUUUGAUAAAAUGAAUAAAUAAACGAAUAAAUAAAUAAAUAUUGUAUUUUGUGUUUACUCAGAUUGCUUUUGUUAUACGUUGC